GAGCACGUAGGUGGGUUUGUAAGUCAGAUGUGAAAGCCUCCUGUUCAACGGGAGAAUUGCAUCUGAAACUACUGAUCUUGAGUGUAGGAGGGGAGAAUGGAACUUCUGGUGGAGCGGUGAAAUGCGUAGAUAUCAGAAGGAACGCCGGCGGCGAAAGCGAUUCUCUGGCCUAUUACUGACACUCAGUGUGCGAAAGCUAGGGGAGCAAACGGGAUUAGAUACCCCGGUAGUCCUAGCCGUAAACGAUGGGCACUAAGUAGAGGGGUUAGU
rnacentral:rRNA from 1 species